CUCUCCCUUCUUUCCCAUGCCUGUGGGCAUGACUGUCGGCGACAGGAGUCAUCAAAUUUUGUCGGAGAAGAAAGCCCCUGUUCGGCCUCUUCUUUUUCCUGAUUUUUGUGGCACUGACAGUCACUGCCGACUGUCGGCCUUGGCCUCUCCGAGCUUGGGAGGGUGACCUCUCAUCGUCAGCCACCGCCAUGCAGGGUAUGGCUGUGAUCGGUCGGUCAAAGGCAAGGGGACCUCUAGGUCCCCAAUUUCGGCCAAAGA
rnacentral:lncRNA from 1 species